GCAUUGCUGAGGGGUCCCAUACCAGGACGAAACGGCUGUCCAGUGC
rnacentral:hammerhead_ribozyme from 1 species